GUGGGGAAUAUUGGGCAAUGGGUGAAAGCCUGACCCAGCAACGCCGCGUGAAGGAAGAAGGUUUUCGGAUCGUAAACUUCUAUCCUUGGUGAAGAUAAUGACGGUAGCCAAGAAGGAAGCCCCGGCUAACUACGUGCCAGCAGCCGCGGUAAUACGUAGGGGGCAAGCGUUGUCCGGAAUGAUUGGGCGUAAAGGGCGCGUAGGCGGCCCGGUAAGUCUGAAGUGAAAGUCCUGCUUUUAAGGUGGGAAUUGCUUUGGAUACUGUCGGGCUUGAGUGCAGGAGAGGUAAGCGGAAUUCCCGGUGUAGCGGUGAAAUGCGUAGAGAUCGGGAGGAACACCAGUGGCGAAGGCGGCUUACUGGACUGUAACUGACGCUGAGGCGCGAAAGUGUGGGGAGCAAACAGGAUUAGAAACCCCAGUAGUCC
rnacentral:rRNA from 1 species